rnacentral:rRNA from 1 species
AUUGAACGCUGGCGGCAUGCCUUACACAUGCAAGUCGAACGGCAGCACGGGGGCAACCCUGGUGGCGAGUGGCGAACGGGUGAGUAAUGCAUCGGAACGUGCCCAGUAGUGGGGGAUAAUCAGUCGAAAGACUGGCUAAUACCGCAUACGACCCAAGGGUGAAAGCGGGGGACCGUAAGGCACCGCGCUAUUGGAGCGGCCGAUGUCUGAUUAGCUAGUUGGCGGGGUAAGAGCCCAUCAAGGCGACGAUCAGUAGCUGGUCUGAGAGGACGACCAGCCACACUGGGACUGCGAGACGGCCCAGACUCCUACGGGGGGCAGCAGUGGGAAAUUUUGGACGAUGGGGGCAAGCCUGAUCCAGCAAUGCCGCGUGCGGGAAGAAGGCCGUCGGGUUGUAAACCGCUUUUGGCAGGAACGAAACGGCGCAGGCCAAUACCUUGCGCUAAUGACGGUACCUGCAGAAUAAGCACCGGCUAACUACGUGCCAGCCGCCGCGGUAAAAC